rnacentral:lncRNA from 1 species
UCGGCGACACGAAGUUGGCCGGAGUUGCUGGACAGCAGUAAGAAGUUGGCCGGAGCUUCUCGAUGUGAACCUGAGGAGGAAGGAUCUGCGUUGGGAGCACGAUGGGGAUCUGAGUUAUUAGGACGCCGCCGGACAGAGUUGCAGGUUUGUAGAACGAUGUUGGUCGAGAUCUCUCGGCUAAGGACUGAUGAGGGCAGGAUCGUUGUUAGAGGAUUCGAAGAUGGACUGAGUUGCAAGGAGAUGGGUUGGCGGAGAUUAGAGGUGGUGUAGUGGUGGAACGGAUGUACUCGACCGAUGGCCGGAGAUGGGUUGCGAGUGGGUGUUGCGGUCUUGCGGAGAUGGAGGCGGUGAUCUGGAGAUGAUGGCGGUGAAAUUUCUCGUAAAAAUAUUUCUUAUUCAUUUAAAGGAGGUUACAUGUUAUAUAUACACUAAACAUAAGGCGGUUUGGGUAGAUUGGGAAAUUGCAAAAUUUAAGGCGGUUGGUGAUUUUAGAGAAUUUAGGAAAAUACCCCUUGGGUAGUUGGUAUUGGUGUUUUCCCCAUCCAUUGUUCGGAAUCACGCCUUGGGUCCGCUUAAGUCAUAAUCCUUUGUCCACCUGGGCGCGACCUGAGCUCGCUUGUUGGUUCGUGUCAAUCCCGCUUCCCUCUCGUCCGUGCUCUCUUCCAUUAUCUCGUCGUCGGCUUCUAGCAUUCCUCCCGUGAACAUCGUAAUCUCCUCGUCUGUGAAAGUAGCUCCGGUCGGUUGUGUAUCACAAAAUAGUGAAAUUAAUAAUUUUCACGUUGUUUAUUUAACAGUACUUUGCACUUUGCAGAGGUCAAUUGCUUUUUACCAUAGGGUUCUCACAGUCAGGUAUUAUGGUAUUAUAAAAUCAUAUAUUAAAAUGGUUUUGGUAAAAUGAGUUCAUUUUCAUAGAUGUAAAUGUAAUGUAAAAAAUAUUCAUUAAGACAACUAAAGCUAGUCAUGACUUAUGAGAAAGUAUUUCUCUGAAAUCUGAACCAGUUUAUAACUUUGGAUUUUUUGGCUCCUGAUUAAAUAAAAAAUAGGGCAAUGAAAAUGCAUCACUAUAUUUUCUUACUCGACCUUUUUCAAACCAUAAAGCAUUUAGUAGACAUCAAGUUUGAUAUGUAUAUUACUCAACUAAAACCUAUUUUUUUAUAUGAGAAUAAUGAGAUAAUAUCUACUUGCUUCCUUUUAUGUAUUUGUAAAAUGAA